CCGCGCGCUCCGGGGUCGGUGCAAGUCCGAACCGGCGGUGACAGUCCGCGAACCGGCCGCAGCCAGCGGCCGGCCGAUCCGGUGGAAAUCCGGGACCGACGGUGAAAGUCCGGAGGAGAGGCAGCGCGC
rnacentral:ncRNA from 2 species